rnacentral:rRNA from 1 species
AUACCAUGCUAAUAUACCGGUUCUCAUUCGAUCACCGAAGUGAAGCAUCAUCGGGCGCUGUGAGUACUUGGGAAGGUGACCACCUGGGAACACCGC